rnacentral:rRNA from 1 species
AUUGAACGCUGGCGGCAUGCCUUACACAUGCAAGUCGAACGGCAGCACGGGUGCUUGCACCUGGUGGCGAGUGGCGAACGGGUGAGUAAUACAUCGGAACGUACCUUAUCGUGGGGGAUAACGCAGCGAAAGCUGUGCUAAUACCGCAUACGCCCUGAGGGGGAAAGCGGGGGAUCGCAAGACCUCGCGCGAUUAGAGCGGCCGAUGCCUGAUUAGCUAGUUGGUGGGGUAAAAGCCCACCAAGGCGACGAUCAGUAGCUGGUCUGAGAGGACGAUCAGCCACACUGGGACUGAGACACGGCCCAGACUCCUACGGGAGGCAGCAGUGGGGAAUUUUGGACAAUGGGGGCAACCCUGAUCCAGCAAUGCCGCGUGAGUGAAGAAGGCCUUCGGGUUGUAAAGCUCUUUUGUCAGGGAAGAAACACCGGCUCUAACACAGUCCGGGAACGACGGUACCUGAAGAAUAAGCACCGGCUAACUACGUGCCAGCAGCCGCAGUAA